rnacentral:rRNA from 1 species
CCCUUAGAUGUUCUGGGCCGCACGCGCGCUACACUGAUGCAUUCAACGAGUAAUCUUUGACCUUGGUCGACAGAUCUGGGUAAUCUUUUGAAAUUGCAUCGUGCUGGGGCUUGCGGGUUGCAAUUACCCGCACCAACGAGGAAUUCCUAGUAAACGCAAGUCAUCAACUUGCAUUGAUUACGUCCCUGCCCUUUGUACACACCGCCCGUCGCUCCUACCGAUUGAGCGGUCCGGUGAAGACUCAGGAGAUGGGCGCGUGCUUGGUUCGCCAACUGCGCUGCCUGCCAAAGUUGUCUAAACCUUAUCGCUUAGAGGAAGGAGAAGUCGUAACA